rnacentral:rRNA from 1 species
GACGAACGCUGGCGGCGUGCUUAACACAUGCAAGUCGAACGGAAAGGCCUGCUUUCCCUUGUGGAUUGCGGGUACUCGAGUGGCGAACGGGUGAGUAACACGUGAGUGAUCUGCCCCCAACUUGGGUAUAAGCCUGGGAAACUGGGUCUAAUUCCCGAUAGGACUGCAGGGUGGUGCCUGUGGUGGAAAACGAUUUUCUAGUGGUUGGGGAUGAGCUCGCGGCCUAUCAGCUUGUUGGUGGGGUAAUGGCCUACCAAGGCGGCGACGGGUAGCCGGCCUGAGAGGGUGGACGGUCACAUUGGGACUGAGAUACGGCCCAGACUCCUACGGGAGGCAGCAGUGGGGAAUAUUGCACAAUGGGCGGAAGCCUGAUGCAGCGACGCCGCGUGGGGGAUGACGGCCUUCGGGUUGUAAACUCCUUUCGACCGCGAGGAAGCCACCUGGUUGGAAGGGUGGUGACAGUAGUGGUAGAAGAAGCACCGGCUAACUACGUG